rnacentral:ncRNA from 2 species
CUAAUGAUCAUGAUCGACGGUGCCCCGGCAACGGGGUGAAAAGGGAACGCGGUGAGAUACCGCGGCUGCCCCCGCAACUGUAAGCGGUGAGUUUUGCGCCAUCGGCCACUGGGAGCGAUCCCGGGAAGGCGGCGCGAAACGUCUUGAUCCGCGAGCCAGGAGACCUGCCGUCGUCGUAUCCGCAAU